GAUGAACGCUGGCGGCGUGCCUAAUACAUGCCAGUCGAGCGAACAGACGAGGAGCUUGCUCCUUUGACGUUAGCGGCGGACGGGUGAGUAACACGUGGAUAACCUACCUAUAAGACUGGGAUAACUUCGGGAAACCGGAGCUAAUACCGGAUAACAUGUUGAACCGCAUGGUUCAACAGUGAAAGACGGUCUUGCUGUCACUUAUAGAUGGAUCCGCGCCGCAUUAGCUAGUUGGUAAGGUAACGGCUUACCAAGGCAACGAUGCGUAGCCGACCUGAGAGGGUGAUCGGCCACACUGGAACUGAGACACGGUCCAGACUCCUACGGGAGGCAGCAGUAGGGAAUCUUCCGCAAUGGGCGAAAGCCUGACGGAGCAACGCCGCGUGAGUGAAGAAGGUCUCCGGAUCGUAAAACUCUGUUAUUAGGGAAGAACAAAUGUGUAAGUAACUAUGCACGUCUUGACGGUACCUAAUCAGAAAGCCACGGCUAACUACGUG
rnacentral:rRNA from 1 species